CAGAAUUUUUAAACUCAGAUUUCUUCUUCCUCUCGCGAAUGUUUCGAACAGCCAUUUUCAGACAACCAUUUCUCCUCCGUCUAGCCACCAAAUCGAGUGCCACAACUUGCAAACUCUUCGCCUCUUUCUCCUCUUCCCAUAAAUACCCAUAUCCAGCCUUGAUUCCAAGCGAAUCAACCAGAAAAUCGAGCCAAAGUUGAGGCCGAAAACGGGCAGCUUUGAACCCAGAAAUUUUUGGGGUAUUUUCCAGCGGAUUCCAGUCGCCAUAGCUCAGGUUUUCAAGUGACAGAAAGCUUCGUUCGAGGGCUUUAGAGAUGGAAUUGAUCAUCGAGCCAAGGCACCUGGGGCCAGGAAGACUCGCAUGAGGGACCUUCAGGAGGUCCAGCUAGCUCGGACCAGGAGCAAUAGACGUGCACCAUAGCGCCACCACCGGGCAGAUUCCACACUCCGCUCCACUCUUCCUUUUUUAUA